UUCUUCUCCAAGAAAUUAAUUGCUUCUUGUUCUUUUAAUCCUGCACUUGUAGCCUUGUGCCCAAAGUAGUGGCCAGCAGGGUCACAUUUAUAGAGCCUAGGCCCAUAUUCCUCGUCAAUACCCAAAACCAUAGCAACUACUCCAAGUGGUCUCAUAUAAGCAUGUUGUGUAUAAAUCUGUGAUUUGUCAGCUAUCCAUUUAGCCAAAACAUCCACAGGCAUCUCAUAUCCAUAUCGGAAGCGAAACUCAGCGGCUUCAUUCCUAGCUUGUUGAACCAAGGUCCUUGCAUCAGCUGUCACGCCAGUUGCUAGCAAACCAAGGUACUUUGUAAUGGGGAAAAGAUGUGUGACACUUGUAUGAUCCAAGAGCUUGUCAGGCACUUUCUUUUGAGUCACCACACAGACAGAAUCCUUUCCACGAACACCAAUUGAGGUGAUCCCAGCAGCCUUAACAGCCUUAAAAGCAUACUCCACUUGAAAGAGACGACCCUCUGGUGAAAAAAUCGUGAUGUGACGAUCAUAUCCUCCUCCACUUCCUCUGCUCAUUUUGCUUCAAUUUGGUAUUUUCAACCUCUUUUUCUUUAUUUAAUUUCUUGCUAGGGUUUUGUGGUGUUGUGCGUUAGAGAACUGACAGAG
rnacentral:misc_RNA from 1 species